GGUUUGUAUUGGAUAGAUGCGCCUUAAUUUAUUAGGGUGAGGAAAGUCCGGGCACAUAUUCAAGCUUUUGCUUGAUUAAACGUAGCGGGUAACGCCCGUCGCCCGUAAGGGUAGAGUUGCGAACAGAGACGAAUCGAACAUUAAUGAAAAUUAGUGUUCGGGUGAAACGGCAAAAUACUUACGCGUGUGCAAGAUCGUACUUUCUGGCUUUAUGCCAGAAUUUGAAUCGCUUGAGGUGUGGAGUAAUUUACAUCCUAGAUAAAUAUCUAUUACUCUAGCAAUAGGGAACAGAACCCGGCUUAUAGAUACAAACCAAAU
rnacentral:RNase_P_RNA from 5 species